GCGGCGUGCUUAACACAUGCAAGUCGAGCGAUGAAGUUUCCUUCGGGAAACGGAUUAGCGGCGGACGGGUGAGUAACACGUGGGUAACCUGCCUCAUAGAGUGGAAUAGCCUUCCGAAAGGAAGAUUAAUACCGCAUAAUGUUGAAAGAUGGCAUCAUCAUUCAACCAAAGGAGCAAUCUGCUAUGAGAUGGACCCGCGGCGCAUUAGCUAGUUGGUGGGGUAACGGCCUACCAAGGCGACGAUGCGUAGCCGACCUGAGAGGGUGAUCGGCCACAUUGGGACUGAGACACGGCCCAGACUCCUACGGGAGGCAGCAGUGGGGAAUAUUGCACAAUGGGGGAAACCCUGAUGCAGCAACGCCGCGUGAGUGAUGAAGGUUUUCGGAUCGUAAAGCUCUGUCUUUGGGAAAGAUAAUGACGGUACCCAAGGAGGAAGCCACGGCUAACUACGUGCCAGCAGCCGCGGUAAUACGUAGGUGGCGAGCGUUAUCCGGAUUUACUGGGCGUAAAGGGAGCGUAGGCGGAUGAUUAAGUGGGAUGUGAAAUACCCGGGCUCAACUUGGGUGCUGCAUUCCAAACUGGUUAUCUAGAGUGCAGGAGAGGAGAGUGGAAUUCCUAGUGUAGCGGUGAAAUGCGUAGAGAUUAGGAAGAACACCAGUGGCGAAGGCGACUCUCUGGACUGUAACUGACGCUGAGGCUCGAAAGCGUGGGGAGCAAACAGGAUUAGAUACCCUGGUAGUCCACGCUGUAAACGAUGAAUACUAGGUGUGGGGGUUUCAACACCUCCGUGCCGCCGCUAACGCAUUAAGUAUUCCGCCUGGGGAGUACGGUCGCAAGAUUAAAACUCAAAGGAAUUGACGGGGACCCGCACAAGUAGCGGAGCAUGUGGUUUAAUUCGAAGCAACGCGAAGAACCUUACCUACACUUGACAUCCCUUGCAUUACUCUUAAUCGAGGAAAUCCCUUCGGGGACAAGGUGACAGGUGGUGCAUGGUUGUCGUCAGCUCGUGUCGUGAGAUGUUGGGUUAAGUCCCGCAACGAGCGCAACCCUUGUCGUUAGUUACUACCAUUAAGUUGAGGACUCUAGCGAGACUGCCUGGGUUAACCAGGAGGAAGGUGGGGAUGACGUCAAAUCAUCAUGCCCCUUAUGUGUAGGGCUACACACGUGCUACAAUGGCUGGUACAGAGAGAUGCAAUACCGCGAGGUGGAGCCAAACUUAAAAACCAGUCUCAGUUCGGAUUGUAGGCUGAAACUCGCCUACAUGAAGCUGGAGUUACUAGUAAUCGCGAAUCAGAAUGUCGCGGUGAAUACGUUCCCGGGUCUUGUACACACCGCCCGUCACACCAUGAGAGUUGGCAAUACCCGAAGUCCGUGAGCUAACCGCAAGGAGGCAGCGGCCGAAGGUAGGGUCAGCGAUUGGGGUGAA
rnacentral:rRNA from 1 species